UGAAUCUAAAUGGCAUCAUGUUUCUUUAUUUUGACUAGUCUUUUCCUUUCCUUACUUUUACCAGAUACCAAAUGGAGUUUGAGCAUGUAGUCUUACUCAACUUGUGCUACUAAUUAGAGUAUUUGUUGGUGAUAUUUUCUUUUUCAGGCCAAUAUCUAAAAGCUAAGGUUGAUGGAGGUUUUGGCAGGGACGUGCUGGAGUUUUUGCUGAAAGGAGAUGUGGUUGCUUAUAGAACCAUGGCUACCAGAGUUUCUUGAAAUAGCCUGAAGAUUAACUGAUUGAUAGAGUUGUCGACUUGUGAUGCAGCUGCAGCAGGGUCAUUUAUACAAUUUUUCCCUAAAAUGAAGGCACAAUACGAUUAUGGUUUGUUGAUGUUUAUAUUGACAUUCAGUUUGGUAUCUGUAAUGGGCUAUCCUCAACCAUCCUCAUUGGUAGUGCCACAGCUGUGGCAUCUACCCAAUGUGGGCUGGUGACGAUCUUUACAAUCUGGUUGCUGGCAAUGUUGAAAAGCUUGGGAACUUCUUAAAAGGAUUUUCAGGGAAAUAUUUUAGAGUCUCAGGAGAUGGAGAAUCCAAGGAUAGCAAAACAAUUCUUCAAGGAUACAAAAGUAUUUUGACUUCAAAAAUCACUGAAGAUUCCUUGACGAAUUUUGCAAAAUGGGAGCCUGGUCAUGGUCGUUUCAGGUUUCGUUGUCCUUAGAAACAAUACCAAAAGAUUGGAUCCCUAGCUGGUCAAUGCGCCUAUCAUAUUGAAGCUCUUAGCAGUAGCUACCCUCACUCUCAUAUCCCGGCCCCCACAGAGAUCCAAAACAAAAUUCAAGAGGCUUGCACAAAGAUGAGUACGAAAUCCAGAAAAGCUUUGAAGGAAUUAGCAUCUGCAAUCAAAAUUUUAUCUUUCUCAUUCAUAUUCAUACCGACUCUCUCAGUUCUCUCUCUAGAAUUUUCCUUCAAGUCCUGGAUUUGAAGAAGAAUUUGAGCCACAUGUUUCUUGUUUUCUUCAAAAUUUCUCAAGGAAAUUGAGAAGUGUGGAAGACGGAAAAGUAUUUGCAAUCUCAAAUUAAUGGUGUUGAGGAUGAAGCAGUGAAAGUCUCAGUCAAAGAACAGAUGAAUUCACACACUUAAACAUGAUUUCAUCUCAGGGAACUGCGCAACUAGCUCUUGAAGAUUGAUAAGCAUUGUGCUUUGUAAUGAUUGAAAAUCAUUACCAUGAAUCAAUGAAAAUUGAAAUAUGCUAAACACAAGGUAGAAUUGGAGCUUUGUGCAUAAAAAAAAAAUGUCAAACAGUUCCAUGAUCUUAACCUUCUUCAAAGGCUGGGAAAAAAAGCAAGCUUUAGAAUGCAUUUUGUGAGCAUAUGAAGACAUUGAACA